rnacentral:rRNA from 1 species
CCUGCCAGUAGUCAUAUGCUUGUCUCAAAGAUUAAGCCAUGCAUGUCUAAGAGUAACCCCAGUACGGGGAAGUCUGCGAAUGGCUCAUUAAAUCGGUUAUAGUCUAUUUGAAUGUGGCUUGUUACACGGAUAACUGUGGCAAUUCUAGAGCUAAUACGUGCUAAAUCCCCCAACUUCGCGGAAGGGGGGCUUGUGUUAGAACGAUGACCGGCUUCCGGUUGAUUCAUAACAUCCAUCGUGGACCGCAUGGCCUCGAGCCGGCGGCGUUGCAUUCGAAUUUCCGAUCUAUCAACUUGAUGGUAGGGUAGCGGCCUACCAUGGUGACAACGGAUAACGGGGAAUUAGGGUUCGGUUCCGGAGAGGGCGCCUGAGAGAUGGCGACCACUUCCAAGGAAGGCAGCAGGCGCGCAAAUUACCCAAUGCCAAUACGGCGAGGUAGUGACAAUAAAUAACAAUGUCGGGGCCCAUAAAGCCUCGGCAAUUGGAAUGAGUACAAUUUAAAUCCCUUAACAAGGAACAACUAGAGGACAAGUCCGGUGCCAGCACCCGCGGUAAUUCCGGCUCUAGUAGCGUAUAUUAAAGUUGUUGCAGUUAAAAAGCUCGUAGCCAGAAUUCGGGAUGCGCGUCGACGGUCGGCCGAAAGGCUGAACGGAGUGCGUGUUCUUAGCCGUCUGUGAUGCUUCCUGCGCUUAACUGAGCGGGUUUGUCGUCCAGGCGCGUUUACCUUGAGCAAAUUGGAGUGUUCAAGGCAGGUUAAAAAGCUCGUACACGUUAGCAUGGGAUAAUAGAAUAUGGCUUCCCCGCGCCUUUGUCGGCCGAUGCGGGGAGGCAAUGAUCAAUAGGGGCUGUCGGGGCGCUUCAUAUGCAGCGGCGAGAGGUGAAAUUCUUGGACCCCCUGCAGAUGCACAGAUGCGAAGGCGUUGCGCUAGUAUGCCUCCAUUGGUCAAGAACGAAAGUUAAGGGAGCGAAGACGAUCAGAUACCGUCGUAGUCUUAACAGUAAACGAUGUCGACCAGGGAUCGGGGAAGGCCCCAUGGAGGCCGCCUCGGAACCUUGUGGGAAACCAGAGUUCUUGGAUUCUGGGGGGAAUAUGGUCGCAAGGCUGAAACUUAAAGGAAUUGACGGAACGGUACACCAGGAGUGGAGCCUGCG